GCCAAUUAGUAAAAGAGAAACUAUCAUUUCACAAGAAGUGAAAGUUCCCGUCCCCUAUCCCCAGUAACAUUAUUCCAACAAUUACUGGGGUAGAUAAAGCAUCGGAAGUAAAUAUAAUAUGUAUUAUUAUUAUGUUAUUAUUUAUAUAGCGCCAACAAAUUUUGCAGCGCUUUACAGUGGGUGGACGAACAGACAUGUAGUUGUAACCAGACAAGUUGGACACACAGGAACAGAGGGGUUGAGGGCCUUGCUCAGUGAGCUUACAUGCUAGAGGGAGCGGGUUAUAGUGACACAGUAAUAGAGGGAUUGAGGGCCCUGCUCAGUGAGUUUACAUGUUAGAGGGAGUGGGGUAUAGUGACACAGUAACAGAGGGAUUGAGGGUCCUGCUCAGUGAGUUUACAUGCUAGAGGGAGUGGGG